GCACUGCUGCCCUCCCCUCCAGCGUGAGGGCGCCGCCCGUGACGGGCAUGAGAAAAGAAAGUGGUGAUGCCGAGUGCAAAACGUUAGACUGCCCCGUGUGAGGCUCGAACUCACGACCUUCAGAUUAUGAGACUGACGCGCUGCCUACUGCGCUAACGAGGCUGCUCGGCGACCACUUCGCGCCGCGGCUUUUGUGGAGAUAGGGGUCGCCCCUCGCGCCCGUGCGUCCCGCUUCCGGCGCCCGAAACUGUGCCGCGCCGGCCGAAUACAAACCAACAGACUGUAGCCAUCUUCUGAACGCUGUCCUAGAUCAUGUGAAGGCACAGCUUCAGAGGUUAAAAAUUUCGGAAUCUGGAAACCAGAGAGAAUGUUUAAGUACUCUUCUUUAUUAAUUGUAUGACUAUCAGAGAUGUCUGAGGUAAAGAACUAUGACAAAAAAAUCAGGGACAGAAAGUGCCACCUGCACAAAUGCACCGUUAUUUCACAAAAAGUGGUACAAUUGGCUGGGCGCGGUGGCUCGUGCCUGUAAUCCCAGCACUUUGGGAGGCCAAGGCGUGUGGAUCACCUGAGGUCGGGAGUUCAAGACCAGCCUGGCCAACAUGGUGACACCCUCUCUCUACUACAAAUACAAAAAUUAGCUGGGCGUGGUGGCAGGCACCUGUAUUCCCAGCUACUGGGGAGGCUGAGGCAGGAGAAUCACCUGAACCCGGGAGGUGGAGGUUGCAGUGAGCUGAGAUCACGCCACUGCACUCCAGCCUGGGCAACAGUGCAAGGCUCUGUCUCAAAAAACAAAUAAAUAAAAUAAACAGUGGUGUAAUAAAGAA